rnacentral:lncRNA from 1 species
AUUCUAAAACACUCCCCCUCAAGCUGGUGCAUAUAAAUCAUAUGUACCGAGCUUGUUACAUAUGUAGUUAACAUCGAACACGGGUUUCUAGACCCGAAAGCAUCGAGUCCCAAAGACAUAGUUGAAAACUUGCUGAAACAGAUGAAGGAAAUACUGUUUUUACCGGAAAAUUACUGUAGAUCCCGGAAUAAAUCACUGUAGAUGCCGGAAAACUCAAAGUGGUCGGAAUUGAAAAGUAAAAAUAUGGGUAGGCUCGGAAUUUGAGGGCGAUCCAACUGCCUUGAAGGACCUUCAUCAAAAUCUCACCGGAACAGUGCUCACGCGCCGGCGCGUGGGACAGACGAGGGCGAUCCAACUACCCUGAAGGACCUUCGUCAAAAUCUCACCAGAACAGUGCUCACGCGCCGGCGCGUGGGGCGCGUGAGUCUGAUCUACCUUGAUAAAUCUGGCGCGUGAGGGCGUGUGAAGGGCAGUUUUCCAGUGGGGUUUGGUCGGAUCUCUCGUGGGAAUCUUGUGGUGGUGUUGGUUUUUGCACAACACUGAUAAUUAGUGACUUUGACGCAAUUAGUCACNN